GUGGGAGCGGGCUUGCUCGCGAAUGCGGUGUGUCAGUCAACUUAUCUAUGACUGAUCCACCGCAUUCGCGAGCAAGCCCGCUCCCAC
rnacentral:misc_RNA from 1 species